UCUUCCCACCAAAGCCUUUUCCUCCACCACUUCCAGUCUACAAGAAGCCACUCCCACCUCCAGUUCCAAUCUACAAGCCAGAGCCAAAACCACCAGUCUUCAAGCCUCCUCCGGUCCCAAUCUACAAGAAGCCACUCCCACCUCCAGUUCCAAUCUACAAGCCAGAGCCAAAACCACCAGUCUUCAAGCCUCCUCCGGUCCCAAUCUACAAGCCAAAACCACCAGUCUUCAAGCCUCCUCCGAUCCCAAUCUACAAGAAGCCACUCCCACCUCCAGUUCCAAUCUACAAGCCAGAGCCAAAACCACCAGUCUUCAAGCCUCCUCCGGUCCCAAUCUACAAGAAGCCACUCCCACCUCCAGUUCCAAUCUACAAGCCAGAGCCAAAACCACCAGUUUUCAAGCCUCCUCCGGUCCCAAUCUACAAGCCAAAACCACCAGUCUUCAAGCCUCCUCCGGUCCCAAUCUAUAAGAAGCCACUCCCACCUCCAGUUCCAAUCUACAAGCCAGAGCCAAAACCACCAGUUUUCAAGCCUCCUCCGGUCCCAAUCUACAAGCCAAAACCACCAGUCUUCAAACCCCCUCCUGUUCCAGUCUACAAACCAAAGCCAAAACCACCAAUCUACAAGCCUCUCCCACCUCCUGUUCCCAUCUCCAAGCCUCUCC
rnacentral:lncRNA from 1 species